CAGCGCCGCGGUAAUACGUAGGGUGCGAGCGUUAAUCGGAAUUACUGGGCGUAAAGCGUGCGCAGGCGGUUUUGUAAGACAGGCGUGAAAUCCCCGGGCUCAACCUGGGAAUGGCGCUUGUGACUGCAAAGCUAGAGUGCGGCAGAGGGGGAUGGAAUUCCGCGUGUAGCAGUGAAAUGCGUAGAUAUGCGGAGGAACACCGAUGGCGAAGGCAAUCCCCUGGGCCUGCACUGACGCUCAUGCACGAAAGCGUGGGGAGCAAACAGGAUUAGAUACCCCGGUAGUCCCUGUCUCUUAUACA
rnacentral:rRNA from 1 species